AGGGAGUCCCGGUGGACUCCAGGUGUAGGUAGGGAGUCCAGGUGUAGGUGGGGAGUCCAGGUGGAUUCCAGGUGUAGGUAGGUAGGGAGUCCCGGUGGACUCCAGGUGUAGGUAGGGAGUCCAGGUGUAGGUAGGGAGUCCAGGUGUGGGUAGGGAGUCCAGGUGUAGGUAGGGAGUCCAGGUGGAUUCCAGGUGUAGGUAGGUAGGGAGUCCCGGUGGACUCCAGGUGUAGGUAGGGAGUCCAGGUGUAGGUAGGGAGUCCCGGUGGACUCCAGGUGUAGGUAGGGAGUCCCGGUGGACUCCAGGUGUAGGUAGGGAGUCCAUGUGGACUCCAGGUGUAGGUAGGGAGUCCAGGUGUAGGUAGGGGGUCCAGGUGUAGGUAGGUAGUCCAGGUGUAGGUAGGGGGUCCAGGUGUAGGCAGGGAGUCCAGGUGUAGGUAGGGAGUCCAGGUGGAUUCCAGGUGUAGGUAGGUAGGGAGUCCCGGUGGACUCUAGGUGUAGGUAGGGAGUCCAGGUGUAGGUAGGGAGUCCAGGUGGAUUUCAGGUGUAGGUAGGGAGUCCAUGUGUGGGUAGGGGGUCCAGGUGUAGGUACGUAGGGAGUCCCGGUGGACUCCAGGUGUAGGUAGGGAGUCCAGGUGUAGGUAGGGGGUCCAGGUGUAGGUAGGUAGGGAGUCCCGGUGGACUCCAGGUGUAGGUAGGGAGUCCAGGUGUAGGUAGGGGGUCCAUGUGUGGGUAGGGAGUACAGGUGUAGGUAGGGAGUCCAGGUGUAGGCAGGGAGACCAGGUGUGGGUAGGCAGUCCAGGUGUAGGUAGGGAGUCCAGGUGUGGGUAGGGAGUCCAGGUGUAGGCAGGUAGUCCAUGUGUGGGCAGGGAGUCCAGGUGUAGGUAGGGAGUCCAGGUCUGGGUAGCGAGUCCAGGUGUGGGUAGGGAGUCGAGGUGUGGGUAGGGAGUCCAGGUGUAGGUAGGGAGUCCAGGUGUGGGUAGGGAGUCCACGUGUAGGUAGGGAGUCCAUGUGUGGGUAGGGAGUCCAGGUGUGGGUAGGGAGUCCAGGUGUAUGUAGGGGGUCCAUGUGUGGGUAGGGAGUCCAGGUGUAGGUAGGGAGUUCAGGUGAAGGUAGGGAGUUCAGGUGCAGGUAGGGAGUUCAGGUGCAGGUAGGUAGGGAGUUCAGGUGUAGGUAGGGAGUUCAGGUGUAGGUAGGGAGUCCAGGUGUAGGUAGGGGGUCCAGGUAUAGGUAGGGAGUUCAGGUGCAGGUAGGUAAGGAGUUCAGGUGUAGGUAGGUAGGGAGUCCAGGUGUAGGUAGGGAGUCCAGGUGUAGGCAGGGAGACCAGGUGUGGGUAGGCAGUCCAGGUGUGGGUAGGGAGUCCAGGUGUGGGUAGGGAGUCCAGGUGCAGGUAGGUAGUCCAUGUGUGGGUAGGGAGUUCAGGUGUAGGUAGGGAGUCCAGGUCUGGGUAGCGAGUCCAGGUGUGGGUAGGGAGGCCAGGUGUAGGUAGGGGGUCCAGGUGUAGGUAGGUAGUCCAGGUGUAGGUAGGGGGUCAAGGUGUAGGUAGGGAGUCCAGGUGUAGGUAGGGAGUCCAGGUAUAGGUAGGGAGUCCAGGUAUAGGUAGGGAGUUCAGUCGCAGGUAGGUAGGGAGUUCAGGUGUAGGUAGGGAGUUCAGGUGCAGGUAGGGAGUUCAGGUGCAGGUAGGUAGGGAGUUCAGGUGUAGGUAGGGAGUUCAGGUGUAGGUAGGGAGUCCAGGUGUAGGUAGGGAGUCCAGGUGGAUUCCAGGUGUAGGUAGGUAGGGAGUCCCGGUGGACUCCAGGUGUAGGUAGGGAGUCCAGGUGUAGGUAGGGGGUCCAGGUAUAGGUAGGGAGUUCAGGUGUAGGUAGGGAGUUCAGGUGCAGGUAGGGAGUUCAGGUGUAGGUAGGGAGUUCAGGUGUAGGUAGGGAGUCCAGGUGUAGGUAGGGGGUCCAGGUGUGGGUAGGUAGGGAGUUCAGGUGUAGGUAGGUAGGGAGUCCAGGGGGUGGGGAGAGUCCAGUGGACUCAAGGUGUAGGCAGCGGCGACCGGGUGUAGUCAAUCUUUAUUUCUUAAUACUGAGAGUGAGUGAUUGAGUUGGGUAUAACGCCGCUUUUAACAUUAUUCCAGUUAUAUCACGGCGUGUCAGCUUACUGUGGGAGGAA
rnacentral:lncRNA from 1 species